CGCUGCAAGACAGGCAAGAGGACCUUGGAGACUUGUGCUGGGAUUUGACAGUUCUGCUUGAGAAACUGGGCCCUGGGCUGCUGCCUGUACUUCUGUGCUACACAAGGCCCAGGACCAGGCAAGAGAUUUACCUGCAAUUAUAGACUUUUCCAUAGUGCAAGAUUGAUGUUGUGAUUUCACCAUCAAGUUCUCCAAGUCUGGGUACACUGGAUAUGUUGGAGCACAGAAGGGAUCAUCUCUUCUUGGCACCCUGCUCCAUCCAGGAUUUCUUGCACAAAGGUCUGCAGGAGAAGGCCAGAAGUCUGAUCCACAGAGGGAAUUUCUGAGUCUCUUCAUGCCAGCUAAAGAACUGGAUCAGGGAACAGAAGGAGUCAUCCUGAUCUUCUCUCUGGGGAUGAAGAACGCUGCAGAGCUCUAUGUAUAAACACUUUGGUUAUUUUAAUGCCCCACUGUUGUUGCAGACCAGGAGCUAUUAAUAAAUGUACUGAAUUCUGUACAGUUUGACACCAUUUUCUAAGGGACUGGAUAUUUAACAAUGAAAAGUGUACCAGUGACCUAAUACAGACAUUUUGGCUAAAGACUUAUUUGCUAAGUCUCAAGACCUGGAAAAGAAGGAAGACGUCUCAUUUGAGGCAAUUUUAGUGUUUCUGGUCAUGGACAUAUUACAGACUCCUUAUUUUUCCUCAAAGUUUUCUUAAGAUUGUGAUACUCAGUUCAUUUUGUAGGCCUUUGAUUUUUUAUUCUGGAUCUGCAUGAACAUAUAUUUUUGGGGGGACAGCUGCUAACUCCACAGCUGGUGUGAGCAGUGGAAGAGCUAGACUAUGGUACUUUCUCAGCCCUCAGCCUCUUUUUCCUACUAGUCACUGGAAAAAUGCAGGCAGACACAAAUGUCAGAGACACUGCAGGAUUCUGGGAUGUAUAAUCACCACGUAUUGCUUGUAACCCCUCCUUCACUCCUGCUUUCAGGCAGCAUAUUACAGGGGAAGGUAACCCCAAGUUUGGGAACUAUUAUAUACAGUAUUUUGAGUUGUCCUGAUAAACACCUCCUAGGGAUAUAUGUUCUGUAAAAUUCUACUUUUCUGUUCAUUCACUCAUCUUUGCCUCUAAGUAGAUAAACCCUUUUCUCACUUGCAAAAAAAUAAGAUAGGUAUACAAAAGCUUUGUUUUGUUCUGAAAGUCUUUAAUAUGGUGCCUAUGUGACUUGGACUCUUGAGCAAAAUUCACCCACACUGGCAAUCUGCAGAUUUAUUUUUAUUAUUACAUUUAAAAAAGGAAUGUGCUUAGGGAAAUGUGAUGUGUUCCAGCAUAAUCUGUGCUUUUUCUUUUUUUAACAUUAGGAUGAGCACAAAGUCAAGAAUGUGGCCCACAGUUAUUAUUAAUGAUUUCCUAAUGAAGUGAAACCCUCAAAUGUGCACAGACAAAGAUAAAAAUAUCACACAUAGUAUACCACCGUUUCAACUACAUUAAUAGUAAUUAUGUUUUUUACUAAAUUAGUACAUCAUGCCCUUAAGCCAUGAUCUGGUUAAACCUCCUUUUACUAUUUACUGAUAUAUCAAGAAGAAUACCUUACACUUUACAUAAGGCUUGAUUCCCUUCACUCAAUGGUAUUUCAAUCAGUCCAAACAUGAGACACAGGCUGACCAAACUGAAACUCAAGUCAGGUGUCUUUUAGAUGAAUCCUUCUGAGUAAUUCUGCUGGCUGCGCUUCUGUGUUUUUUACUAUAUCCUUCCCUCAGACACUCUGUGGUAUGAUUUUUCCAUUCAGUAUCAUGGGGAAAAUCCAGAGCAACACACAUGGCAUUGGGAGUGGAGGGACCUUAAAGAUCACCUAGUUCCAACACCACUGCCAUGGGCAGGAACACCUUCCAUUUGCUCAAAGACCCAUCCAGCUUGGCCUCGAUCACUUCCAGGGAUGUGUCAUUGCAAACUUCUCUAGUCAACUUGUUCCAGUGCCUCCUCAUUCUCACAGUAAAAAAACAAGGACAUUUAAUGAAACCUUUAUGGUUAAUUUAUCCUUUAAGCAAGGAUGUCUAAUGAGAUCUCAUAGAACUUCAACCUGAUUCAAACUUGUCUGAAACUGGAAGGAUUCAAUUUACUUCUGCAUUGAUGACAGUCCCUGCCCCAGAAAACCAAGCCUAAAAGACGGAGUACACCCUCAGAAAAAUCAGAUUUCAGCCAGUUUUAAAAGGUAAGCUUUGGGAAGAGUAAUCACAAGGUCUGCAAGGGAAAACACAUGUGCUGUAGUGCCUGCAGCCACCUGGAUGCAUUCCCAGCAGGCUGCUGCAGUGAAGGUCACUGC